rnacentral:rRNA from 1 species
GACGAACGCUGGCGGCGUGCUUAACACAUGCAAGUCGAACGGAAAGGCCCUGCUUUUGUGGGGUGCUCGAGUGGCGAACGGGUGAGUAACACGUGAGUAACCUGCCCUUGACUUUGGGAUAACUUCAGGAAACUGGGGCUAAUACCGGAUAGGAGCUCCUGCUGCAUGGUGGGGGUUGGAAAGUUUCGGCGGUUGGGGAUGGACUCGCGGCUUAUCAGCUUGUUGGUGGGGUAGUGGCUUACCAAGGCUUUGAUGGGUAGCCGGCAUGAGAGGGUGACCGGCCACAUUGGGACUGAGAUACGGCCCAGACUGCUACGGGAGGCAGCAGUGGGGAAUAUUGCACAAUGGGCGGAAGCCUGAUGCAGCAACGCCGCGUGCGGGAUGACGGCCUUCGGGUUGUAAACCGCUUUCGCCUGUGACGAAGCGUGAGUGACGGUAAUGGGUAAAGAAGCACCGGCUAACUACGUG